rnacentral:rRNA from 1 species
UUUGAGAUGGCCUCUCGCCCUAUUCAGUGUAACAGCUGUGGUAGUGGGUUUGGUCGCUCGCAUUUAAAUUGGAAGGGUAAUGGUGGACCGCACUUCUCCCUUAGUAGGACGUUGCGACCUGUCAAAUAAUAUCCUAAGUAUUUGGCUAAUUUGUCUGUUUUUAGGCAGUACUGAAAGGUAUUUCCUUUAACAGUUUUAGCCGUUUACAUACUGGAUAUAAUUGACAGUAACGAAUCAUGGUGUUGAGCCACUUACUUUGUAAGUGUCCUUUAUGGCUGUUUGCAAGUGGGUUGGUUAAUUAGUUUUAGUCGGAUUUUGGUCCGUCUAACUAUUCCGCCUACUGUUGGUAAACUGUUCCUUGGACAGUGCUUAUAACACCGGUCGGCAGCGAUUCAGGUUCAGGCUCUUAUCCGACCCGUC